rnacentral:rRNA from 1 species
UUUGAAAUCUGGCGCAAGCCCGAGUUGUAAUUUGUAGAGGAUGCUUCUGGGUAGCGACCGAUCUAAGUUCCUUGGAACAGGACGUCAUAGAGGGUGAGAAUCCCGUAUGUGACCGGCCCGCACCCUCCACGUAGCUCCUUCGACGAGUCGAGUUGUUUGGGAAUGCAGCUCUAAAUGGGAGGUAAAUUUCUUCUAAAGCUAAAUACCGGCCAGAGACCGAUAGCGCACAAGUAGAGUGAUCGAAAGAUGAAAAGUACUUUGGAAAGAGAGUUAAAAAGCACGUGAAAUUGUUGAAAGGGAAGCGCCUGCAACCAGACUUCGCGGCAGUGUUCCGCCGGGCUUCUGCCCGGCCUACUCUCUGUCGCGAGGCCAUCAUCGUCUGGGCCCGCCGGAUAAGACCGGAGGAAUGUAGCUCACCUUCGGGGGAGUGUUAUAGCCUCCGGUGAUGCGGCGCGGCUCGGGCGAGGUCCGCGCUUCGGCAAGGAUGAUGGCGUAAUGGUCGUCGGCGGCCCGUCUUGAAACACGGACCAAGGAGUCUAACAUCUAUGCGAGUGUUCGGGUGUCAAACCCCUACGCGUAAUGAAAGUGAACGGAGGUGGGACCCGCAAGGUGCACCAUCGACCGAUCCUGAUGUCCUCGGAUGGAUUUGAGUAAGAGCAUAGCUGUUGGGACCCGAAAGAUGGUGAACUAUGCCUGAAUAGGGUGAAGCCAGAGGAAACUCUGGUGG